rnacentral:rRNA from 1 species
GACAGAGGAUGCAAGCGUUAUCCGGAAUGAUUGGGCGUAAAGCGUCUGUAGGUGGCUUUUCAAGUCCGCCGUCAAAUCCCAGGGCUCAACCCUGGACAGGCGGUGGAAACUACCAAGCUGGAGUACGGUAGGGGCAGAGGGAAUUUCCGGUGUAGCGGUGAAAUGCGCAGAUAUCGGGAAGAACACCCGUGGCGAAGGCGGCUCACUGGACCGGUUCUGACGCUGAGGCGCGAAAGCGUGGGGAGCAAACGGG